rnacentral:rRNA from 1 species
GCUUGUCUCAAAGAUUAAGCCAUGCAUGUCUAAGUAUAAGCUUUUAUACGGUGAAACUGCGAAUGGCUCAUUAAAACAGUUAUAGUUUAUUUGAUGGUCGCUCACUACAUGGAUAACCGUGGUAAUUCUAGAGCUAAUACAUGCGUCAAGACCUGACUUUUCGGAAGGGUCGUGUUUAUUAGAUACAAAACCAGCAUCUCGUUGGUGAGUCAUAAUAACCAAGCGAAUCGUCGGUUUACCGACGAUAGAUCGUUCAAGUUUCUGACCUAUCAGCUUUGACGGUAGGGUAUUGGCCUACCGUGGCAAUGACGGGUAACGGAGAAUUAGGGUUCGAUUCCGGAGAGGGAGCCUGAGAAACGGCUACCACAUCUAAGGAAGGCAGCAGG